rnacentral:rRNA from 1 species
AGAACUUUGAAGAGAGAGUUCAAGAGUACGUGAAACCGUUCAGGGGUAAACCUGAGAAACCCAAAAGAUCGAAUGGGGAGAUUCAGCGUUCAGCGAGAAGUACGUGUCUGGCUUCCGUGCGGCGCGCGAUGUUGCGUAUUUAUUUGCGCGGCACGUCGUCGCUGCGGUAUGACCGGCCUCGUCGGCGUGCACUUCUCCCCUAGUAGGACGUCGCGACCCGUUGGGCGUCGGCCGUCGCAAGGCUCGAGAUGGUCGACUGUCGUGCUCCUGGCGCGACAGACCCUCGAUUCGCCCGGCCGGCUGCUCGGCGGUAAUUUUUCUUUAUUACAAUUGACGGUAAAGAGCCGCAUUGAAUGCGUUCGGCUCGUCGGUUGGCUCGCCUCGCUUGGAUUUACGGACCUGGUGCCGUUGCCGGGCGCUUGGUGGGCUGGGGGCUCUCCCCCUCUACACCGACGACGAUCUCGAACUGGCUCGGUGCGCGCGCGUUCGCGCGYGCGCGCAUCCACCUGUCGGCGACGCUUUAGCUUUGGGUACUUUCAGGACCCGUCUUG